GGAACACUGGAAGUGCUGCGGGAGAGGGAAGGAGGAGGAGGAGGAGGAGGAGGAGGUGAAAUUGUGAAACAGCUUUCCAGGAUAGAGUUACAUUGCUCAGCAUUUAGAAAAAGACACGAAGGAAAAAUGUCGAGCUGAAUUUUCCUCCUUUUUCCGCCUCUUCAACUGCUUCUCAAACAGCGGGAGACCUCAACAAUAAGGACUAUAAUGCUCCAGCUUGGAACCCUGUUUACUCAGCUUCAUCUCAGCCCCAAAGCUUCACAAAGUGCCCAUGUCAAGAGCACAACGCAGAUAUCUGCGCUGCCUGACUUUUUAAAGCAUGUCUCGAAACUCAGUGGGCUGCGAAAGGAAGAUAUUCACUGCAAUCUCCGCAUCCCAGACCAGUUUCAGACAACCAAAAAUGACAUCAACAUUGUUAUCCUCACAGGUCAGGGGAUCUUCUGUUUGGAUGUGAAACAAUGGAGAGGCAAUGUAUCUGCCCACAACCAAAACUGGCAUGUACAAGUGAAAGAAGAGGACCAAAACUUUACCAAUACCUGCAUUGAGCAGAUUGAAGAUCCCCUCAAAGCUAUCACGACCAAGACGGCCAAGUUAUGCAGCCAUUUGAAGAGGAGCGGAGUGUCUGUAUGUCAAAGUCUCUUCUUCCCCAGGGUCAUCUUCCUCUCUCCAGACUGUGAGCUGGAUGAGGAGCUGAGGAAGAGGAGGGAGCUGGUCUCCCAUUGCCAGAUAGAUGACUUCCUUAGAUCUUUGAAGGAAGGAUACAUGGCCUGGAUAUCAGAUGCCCUGAUGCCCUCCUGGAUCUCUGGUCAUCUGUCGUACAGGCAGAUGGAGUCAGUGCGGGAGGUUCUGAGGAGGGUGGGAACUUGGGAUCUGGUGCGGCUGCACAGUGGCGAGCAGCUGAAAGGAGACUACCAGUGCUGCCAGUACAUCGCUCUCAACCGCCAGGAGACAGACACACUCGAAUUUUCCAGAGUCAAGACCCUAUCCACUGAUUCGCUGUGGGCCCUGCUGGGACACGCUCCUCAGGUAACAGUUAAAAUGUAUAAGCGUGGAUCUCAUGGAUGGCUGGGUAAAUCUCUGAAUGCCACCACCAUCAUCCCUUCUAACACCUAUGUGAUCUUCAGGAUCAGCGGCGAGGAGGCAGAUGCCAAAAUCCCCGCAAACACCAUUCACAGCAUCACACUCAGCAUCUGACGGUGUGUGUCAGAUAUCAGAAAAAGAGAAUAGCCAUCACAACAUCUUAAUUACUGGUGUGCAUAUGCUUUAAAAAAAUGGGUGGGCCUUUUUUCUAUGCAGUGUUUGUACUAUCAAAGCCAAUUCCAGAUGUCCUCUGUUACAAUUUUGAUUUUCUGAUCAUCAGUUGUAAUAUUAUGCUAAUGAGGAUGGUUUCAGACAAUUAGCCUGAUUAGCCUGGUCUCUUGUUUUGGAUUUCUAGGGCUGGCCCACACUUUACACUAGCUAUUAAUUAAUCAUUACGCCAGCUGAUUGUGUCACAUCAGUUCAGGACUGAAGUGUUUAAUGUGCUAAUUGUGGCAGUUAAAACCUGGCGGCCUCCGCUGCGGUGAGGGCAUGUUACUGCCUCUGUGGGUUUAAUGGGAAGUUAUUUACGGUCUGUUUGGACAGUGUAACUGUAAGGUGCUUUAUUAAUAUGCCCCACCGCACAGGGGAGUCGAUAACGCAUUGGAGAGGCGCAGCCGCCAGCGCCAUUCAUAACUGUGUCUGAGUCACUUUCCAUCAGUUACCAGGCUCACACAGCUGCGCUAACAGCUAGCAAUUGUAUUUACUGGGCCUGUUAGUGGCCAAAAUGAAGUUAUUUCCAUCAAGAUAUCAGUGCCUUUAGCUAAUGCAAUAGAAGGAGCUCUCUCUGUUGAUGGUAUCUCUUUGCAUGGCAUCUCUACCUGAAACAUCAUUACACUGUACUCACUUUGGCGAAUGUCUGUUUUACCUGAGGGGCAGAUCAGCUGUACAAGCAGCACUGUGUUGUUAGGAGGUGCAUUUUUUUUCUCAGUCCACAUUGCUUGAAUUUUAGGUGUUUUGAUGAAUUUGUUGUCUUCACAUAUUUAAAUUAGCUCUCAGGCAGGAACUGUUUUGAUGGGAAUGACUUCAAGGAAAUGUAACCUGGUCGGAGCAUGCAUGAUGAGUUUUACUGUAACGUUACUUUUUUGUAAACUUGAAGCACUUUUAAGCACAAAGCCAGCUUAAAGGGACAGUUCAUUGUAAAAAUUAAACAUUAUUAUUUGGGUUUUCCCAUUUAUUUAUAUAGAUUUGUUAACACAUUCAAUAAUCAGUAAUGACCAAUUGACUUUAGGGUGAACUGCCUCUUUAAGAAGUAUGAUUUUAAGCAUACUCUGCAUGGUUGUUUUAUUCAUUGGUGUGUUUUCUAUGUUUUUAUGUUUGUGCUAUCUGUUGUUGUAAUAAAAAAAUAUGACAUUAUUUGAAGCUUUACA
rnacentral:lncRNA from 1 species